rnacentral:rRNA from 1 species
CCUACGGGAGGCAGCAGUGGGGAAUAUUGGACAAUGGGGGCAACCCUGAUCCAGCCAUGCCGCGUGUGUGAAGAAGGCCCUCGGGUUGUAAAGCACUUUCAGUGAGGAAGAACGCCUGGUGGUUAAUACCCAUCAGGAAAGACAUCACUCACAGAAGAAGCACCGGCUAACUCCGUGCCAGCAGCCGCGGUAAUACGGAGGGUGCGAGCGUUAAUCGGAAUUACUGGGCGUAAAGCGCGCGUAGGUGGCUUGAUAAGCCGGUUGUGAAAGCCCCGGGCUCAACCUGGGAACGGCAUCCGGAACUGUCAAGCUAGAGUGUAGGAGAGGAAGGUAGAAUUCCCGGUGUAGCGGUGAAAGGCGUAGAGAUCGGGAGGAAUACCAGUGGCGAAGGCGGCCUUCUGGACUGACACUGACACUGAGGUGCGAAAGCGUGGGUAGCAAACAGGAUUAGAUAUCCGAGUAGUC